AGCGAACGCUGGCGGCAGGCCUAACACAUGCAAGUCGAACGAACCUUUCGGGGUUAGUGGCGGACGGGUGAGUAACACGUGGGAACGUGCCUUUAGGUUCGGAAUAACUCAGGGAAACUUGUGCUAAUACCGAAUGUGCCCUUCGGGGGAAAGAUUUUUCGCCUUUAGAGCGGCCCGCGUCUGAUUAGCUAGUUGGUUGAGGUAAUGGCUCACCAAGGCGACGAUCAGUAGCUGGUCUGAGAGGAUGAUCAGCCACAUUGGGACUGAGACACGGCCCAAACUCCUACGGGAGGCAGCAGUGGGGAAUCGUGCGCAAUGGGCGAAAGCCUGACGCAGCCAUGCCGCGUGAAUGAUGAAGGUCUUAGGAUUGUAAAAUUCUUUCACCGGGGACGAUAAUGACGGUACCCGGAGAAGAAGCCCCGGCUAACUUCGUG
rnacentral:rRNA from 1 species